GCGGCAGGGUGGCCUAGUGGUUAAGAGUGUAGAGGCGGCAGCGUAGCCUAGUGGUUAAGAGUGUAGAGGAGGCAGGGUGGCCUAGUGGUUAGAGUGUAGAGGAGGCAGGGUGGCCUAGUGGUUAGAGUGUAGAGGAGGCAGGGUGGCCUAGUGGUUAGAGUGUAGAGGAGGCAGGGUGGCCUAGUGGUUAGAGUGUAGAGGUGGCAGGGUGGCCUAGUGGUUAGAGUGUAGAGGAGGCAGGGUGGCCUAGUGGUUAGAGUGUAGAGGAGGCAGGGUGGCCUAGUGGUUAGAGUGUAGAGGCGGCAGCGUAGCCUAGUGGUUAGAGUGUAGAGGAGGCAGGGUGGCCUAGUGGUUAGAGUGUAGAGGAGGCAGGGUGGCCUAGUGGUUAGAGUGUAGAGGAGGCAGGGUGGCCUAGUGGUUAGAGUGUAGAGGUGGCAGGGUGGCCUAGUGGUUAGAGUGUAGAGGAGGCAGGGUGGCCUAGUGGUUAGAGUGUAGAGGAGGCAGGGUGGCCUAGUGGUUAGAGUGUAGAGGCGGCAGCGUAGCCUAGUGGUUAGAGUGUAGAGGAGGCAGGGUGGCCUAGUGGUUAGAGUGUAGAGGUGGCAGCGUAGCCUAGUGGUUAGAGGGGAGGGGCGGCAGCGUAGCCUAGUGGUUAGAGUGUAGAGGCGGCAGGUAGC